rnacentral:rRNA from 2 species
CCUGAUGCAGCAACGCCGCGUGAGGGAUGACGGCCUUCGGGUUGUAAACCUCUUUUAGCAAGGAAGAAGCGAAAGUGACGGUACUUGCAGAAAAAGCGCCGGCUAACUACGUGCCAGCAGCCGCGGUAAUACGUAGGGCGCAAGCGUUAUCCGGAAUUAUUGGGCGUAAAGAGCUCGUAGGCGGUUUGUCGCGUCUGCUGUGAAAUCCCGAGGCUCAACCUCGGGCCUGCAGUGGGUACGGGCAGACUAGAGUGCGGUAGGGGAGAUUGGAAUUCCUGGUGUAGCGGUGGAAUGCGCAGAUAUCAGGAGGAACACCGAUGGCGAAGGCAGAUCUCUGGGCCGUAACUGACGCUGAGGAGCGAAAGGGUGGGGAGCAAACAGGCUUAGAUACCCUGGUAGUCCACCCCGUAAACGUUGGGAACUAGUUGUGGGGUCCUUUCCACGGAUUCCGUGACGCAGCUAACGCAUUAAGUUCCCCGCCUGGGGAGUACGGCCGCAAGGCUAAAACUCAAAGGAAUUGACGGGGACCCGCACAAGCGGCGGAGCAUGCGGAUUAAUUCGAUGCAACGCGAAGAACCUUACCAAGGCUUGACAUACACGAGAACACUCUAGAAAUAGGGGACUCUUUGGACACUC